CAAUGAAGCGUUCCUUAUUAGAACUCAAUUCGGAAUAUGACUCAAACACCAUCACAAGCAAACAAGUCAAAGCAUUCUUCUCUUUCUUUGAAACAGAAAGUUAAAUAAUGAGGAUGUUAAACCUUUUAUAUCCCCUUUAUUGACUAUGGGAGCGAAAAAUAAAACUCACAUCGGCCACAUUGUUCUCCAUCACUACAGAAAAGGCUUUAGUGUAGAAAAGUCCGUUAAGAACUAAAAGAAAAUGGUAAAGAAGUUACUGAAUUAGAAGUUACGUCAUGGUUUGUCAAGUUCCAAGAUGGCAAUAAUGAUAUUAUAAAUGGUGCAACAACACCCUCUUCACCUGAUUCAACAACCUUAACAACUAGAGCACUCGGAACUGGCUACAAUAAAAAA
rnacentral:lncRNA from 1 species